AUAUAUACAUUAUAAUUUUCCUUUUGACUUCUUGACUUUUAGUAAAUAUUCCUGAAUAAGUAUGAUCAGAUUUUGGAUCUCUAAUUACUUUUUUUUUGUCAUUCCGUUGACCCAAUAAAGGUAUUACAAGUUGCUCGGAAAUGGAUUUAAUCAUUUGACUUGUCAUAACUCAUAACUAAAGCAUUUUUAAACCCAUUUAGAGUUAGUGGAGCUAACUAUUCAUAUUAUAACAAAAAAAAGAAAAAAAA
rnacentral:lncRNA from 1 species